rnacentral:rRNA from 1 species
GACGAACGCUGGCGGCGUGCUUAACACAUGCAAGUCGAACGGAAAGGCCCUGCUUUUGUGGGGUGCUCGAGUGGCGAACGGGUGAGUAACACGUGAGUAACCUGCCCUUGACUUUGGGAUAACUUCAGGAAACUGGGGCUAAUACCGGAUAGGAGCUCCUGCUGCAUGGUGGGGGUUGGAAAGUUUCGGCGGUUGGGGAUGGACUCGCGGCUUAUCAGCUUGUUGGUGGGGUAGUGGCUUACCAAGGCUUUGACGGGUAGCCGGCCUGAGAGGGUGACCGGCAACAUUGGGACUGAGGUACGGCCCAGACUCCUACGGGAGGCAGCAGUGGGGAAGAUUGCACAAUGGGCGGAGGCCGGAUGCAGCAACGCCGCGUGCGGGAUGACGGCCUUCGGGUUGUAAACCGCUUUCGCCUGUGACGAAGCGUGAGUGACGGUAAUGGGUAAAGAAGCACCGGCUAACUACGUG